GAAGCACCAAAAUAUGGCGCUAUCAUUUUCAACCAAUGGGCUGGCCGUUUGUAACAGGUUGUAGCAGGCGUCACUGUGGCGGGAACGCGCAUUCAAGACGGGAAAGCGGUUGAGGAGGCAUCGGGAUCGCGCUCAUCUGUUUGGCUGGCAAAUGCCUCCGGUGUAACAGGCCGAUCAUUAUGGGAGAACCAGGAUCCCGAAGCGGGAUGGACCCUGACCCACCGACCGCUGCGCAGAGCUUAUCGAGGCGGUUUAUACCGGGAUAAAACAUUUUGUGUGUCCAAUAGCAAACAGCCAGUCAGUAAGCUACAGAGGAGGUGGUGUUUGCUGGGAUUCAACCUGAGCCAGAGUCGCGGCUGGUAGCUUAACUAGGAGAGAGGGACGAGGAAACUGGGAAGACAGCACUUUACAAUCUAACUGGAUCCUGCUCGAAAUUGCGAGAAUGAUGGAUGAACUGUCGAUUACAAGCUGGUCCGGUCAGCACAACCCUGUCAGAGCAGGGUGGGUUCAUCCGGAGUAAAAUCAGUCGGCUCUUAUCUGUCGGCUUCUCCUCCGCCGGGAGGCGAUGUCCACUUUCUGCCUAGACCUGCAGACGUCCGCCGUGGUUUCAGCACCACAGGAGCUGGACAGCGACUGCAUGGAGCCCCGGGACAGCCCCGCCGCUCAUGAGCCCGGCGGCUUUCAGGGUCACCCGCUGCCGCACGCCGGGUCCGGAGGCCUCGGCAUGGCCUUGGAGGAGGAACUGGCCAUGCUUACCGGGGACCGGGACGACGAGGAGGAGCUGUCGGACCUAGAGACGCCUGCGGUGGGGCAUAACGCAGACUUGCUGUCGCUCUUCCGUCAAAAGGAAAAAGACUUGGUUUUAGCUGCUAAACUCGGCAAAGCGCUGCUGGAGAGAAACCAAGACUUGACCAAGCAAUAUGAGAAAAUGCACAAAGAUCUCAACGAGAAAUUAGAGCACUUGGAGCAGGAGAAGCAUGAGUUGCGUAGGCGUCUGGAAAGUCGAGAGGGGGAGUGGGAGGGCCGUGUUGCCGAGCUGGAGACGGACGUCCAGCAGCUGCAGGGUGAGCUGGAGCGGCAUCAGGUCCAGCUGAGAGAGGCUGACAGAGACAAGACCAAGUCCAUCAGCGAGCUCUCCGAACAGAACCAUAGACUGCUGGAGCAACUCAGUAGGGCUGCAGACGUGGAAAGGCAGUUGUCCACUCAGGUCCAUUCAUUACGGGAUGACUUCAGGGAGAAGAGUAUGUCUACAAGCCAGCACAUGACUCGACUAGAGACUCUACAGGCUGAGCAAGGGCUAGAAAUUAAGAUGCUGUCGGAGAGGAAGAUGGAGCUGGAGCGCCGCGUGAACGCCAUGCUGGAGGAGAAUGAGCUGCUGCAAAAUACAGUGGAGGACCUCCGAGAGAGGACGCUGGUGUUGGAGAGGCAGUCUCACACGAAGGACCUACAGUUACGGCAGAGCCAGCUUGAGCUUCAGGAGGUUCAGAUGUCCCACAGACAGCUGACUGCUCAGCUGGAGGAGCUGACGGAGGAGCACAGCCUCCAUGGCCUCACCCCGCACCCGUCCAGCUUGCUGUGUGAGAUAGAACAGAGCAUGGAGCAGGAGGAGCAGGAGCAGGAGAGAGAGCAGCUGCGUCUUCAGCUAUGGGAGGCCUACUGUGAAGUUCGCUCGCUCUGCUCCCAUCUCCGGGGAAAUGACGUCACAGAUUCGGCGCUGUCCACUGACUCUUCCAUGGACGAGUCCUCCGAGACGUCCUCAGCCAAGGAUGUGCCUACUGGGAGCCUCCACACCAGCCUGCUAGAGCUACGGAGGCUCACACAGAAUCUGCUGGAUGGCAACGAGUCCACGGGCUCGCCGCGCAGUGAUGAGGAGGCUCUGGAGGAGCAGACGAGGAAGCUAGGAGAGGAGCUGAGGGAAGUCAGAGAGCUGUACGAAGCUGAGCAGGACAAAACACGCAGCAAUGAAGACAAGGUGCUGCAGCUGCACAAUCAGAUGGCGCUGCUCUCUGUAGAGAUGUGCUCUCUCCGGGAGGACAACGAGCGAAUGAGGACAAUGGCUGAAGUCCGAGAACCCAGCGAGCAGCUCCAGACUGCUAUCAGAGACAGAGACGACGCCAUAACCAAGAAGAAAGCAGUGGAGAUGGAGCUGGCCAAGUGUAAAAUAGACAUCAUGUCUCUGAAUAGCCAGCUCCUGGACGCCAUCCAGCAGAAGCUCAACUUGUCGCAGCAGCUGGAGGCUUGGCAGUUUGCCUCCUCAGGGCUCUUUACUGUUUGGCUCUUGUGGUUUCUGAUCUAGUGGCCUUUCUCAGCUUCCGUACCACCCUUUCUCCCCUGUGGUACCCCCCCCUCCUGCCUUAGAGGAUGAUAUGCACAGAGUGAUUGACCAGCAGUUGAUGGACAAGUACCAGGACGAGUGGCGCUCGGCCCCUAACUCCCUGCCAGGGUCGUCCAGGGCCCAUGGCGGUCAGUCCUCCAGACGAGCUCAUCGCAUCUCCGACCGGGACAAGAGACUUUUCUCUUUUUUCAAAAAGAACUGAGCCUCAUUGGAGCACAGCAGACAGAAAGAGACAGACGAGGCCAGGGACAAGGAGGGAGUGACAUCACAGUAUCGGUGUAACAACACAGCCAAAGACGGGCAGUGGCACACACUGAGGUUUGGAUGGGGGGGGGGGGUCAUUUUGCACUUUAUCUGUCCCAUUACUCUUCUCUUUGCUGAUUAAUUGGUGACUGCUGACAAUGAGAGACUGACUAAAAAUAGGACUUCCCCAGAGGCUUUGGCUUCAGCCCCUCUCAUAGAAAGCUAUCGGUCUUACAGAACAUGAACAGGGUCACAAAGUUUACCUCCAAAGAGGAAGGUUUCCUUGUAGUGCCUACAACCAUCUCUACUAGCCCACUGCCAACUCUGUAGAGGGGGAACACUAUGUACAAACUGUUACUGUAUGCAUCCCAGUUAUCAGGCCAAGCAGUCUGGGGAACGACAGGUGGAUGUGUGGGACAUUGCAGGAUUGUAGGAAAAGGUGUAGAUAGCAGGACAGAGCUGUACAUCAGAAUAUGAUGAUGCAGCCAGCCCACAUGAGAUCUCUCAGGUUUAUUCAUUUGUUCAGGGGAUGUUCACAACAUGAAGCAACAGAGCUUGAUGCAUCAGUACCAUAGUGUGCUCUAUAUCUGACAAAACAAAUGACAAAAAGAGUGCUUAUUUUGUUAUUGACAGCAGUGCAGGUGAGCAUAUUGCCCCAGGCCCAAACUUCCAAUCAAAGUGAGAUAAAAAAAAAACUUUAAAGGGUUACAUAAAUGAUUACAUUUUCAAGUUUGGGGACUUGCAAUAGAUAUAUUAAAGCUGCAUUUAUCAAUAUUUUUAUAUAAACAAUGUGUAGUGUGAAAAGAGCCAUUCAUAGUCAAACCAACCAGUGAAUUAUCACCCAACUCUGCAGUUUCCCCUCAGCUCUACGGAGUGUUUUAACCUUUUUUUAGCUGAUUGUUUUGGUUUUACGACCCUUUUGGUUUCCCCCUUUUUGUUGGCAGCAGACAGCUGUUUUCAGCAAAAAGCUCUAAUAAACUGAUUGCACUCUACCUGCUCAGCACCAAACCGCCUCAGACACAGUGGACAUCCAGCUGGUGAACAUAGAGGAACAUUUAGCAGCUAAAAAGGCAGAGAUUGGAUAGAGACCAAAACAGCCACAGUAGAAGAAGAGUAAAUAUUGGCCUUAGAACGUGGUGGGUGGCAAGAAACACGACUCCCAAUUAUUGCUAAGGUUACACCGUGCCUGCUGGAUGUGUGAACAACUGGUGGCUAACAUUUGCUAAACAACUUUAAAAAGGGGAUUAUAUGCAUAUGUCUUUGCAGCUAGUUCCUUAAGCCUAAAAAAUAAUCAAUUUGUGCAGCUUUAAUGAAUGAAUGAAUGAAUGAAUGUUAAAAUUCAAAGCAGCAGAAGCAGAGACUUUUAGUCCCUAAUAUGGAAUCCCAAAACACUGGAUCCUACCUUUACCACAAUGCAACCAAUACUCUUUUUUUUCAUCAGACCAUUUCUGC